AUUGAACGCUGGCGGCAGGCCUAACACAUGCAAGUCGAGCGAGCGGCGGACGGGUGAGGAAUGUCUGGGAAACUGCCUGAUGGAGGGGGCUAACUACUGGACACGGUAGCUAAUACCGCAUACCAUCAGAGGUGCCCAGAUGGGAUUAGCCCGUAGGUGGGGUAACGGCUCACACAGGCGACGCUGCCUAGCUGGUCUGAGAGGAUGACCAGCCACACUGGAACUGAGACACGGUCCAGACUCCUACGGGAGGCAGCAGUGGGGAAUAUUGCACAAUGGGCGCAAGCCUGAUGCAGCCAUGCCGCGUGUGUGAAGAAGGCCUUCGGGUUGUAAAGCACUUUCAGCGGGGAGGCGUUACCCGCAGAAGAAGCACCGGCUAACUCCGUGCCAGCCGCCGCGGUAAUAC
rnacentral:rRNA from 1 species